AGGGUUUGUUUUUGCAAGUUUUUUGCACAUUACGUUAAGCAAGCCUGUUUGUGUGUGACCACUAGAGUCAGACUCCUUUGGCUCUCUCCUGGUACCUGAUGGAAGCAAAUGGGGCUUGUCAAACUCCAGAGGUCCUGGCAACUGCCGUAAAGUCAUGUACUUGUCCAGAAGACUGGGAAUGAAGAUGAGUUUGAAAAGGAAUCCAGAGAUAGCCUGUGAAUUCCCCUGUCCAUGGUUGAACAAGGGUAAAUAAUAAGGCAGCACUGUGUUGUGGAUUCAAACCGAGACUCCAGCUCUUAACAACAAUUGAAAGCCCCCACGGGUGUGUAAAGAAAUCAGAGACAACAGCACAUCAAUUAUGAAGCCCUGUACUCUAUCUACUGCUGGCAAAAGAAAAGGUUAAUUAUCUAAAAGUAAAGCAACUUUAUGCUGGUGUAGGAGGGUGAACUGGAAGGAGAGCUGUUGAACAAACAAGAUAAGGUUGUGAUCUACAACGUAAGAAGACGGAAGCUGAAUAAGAAAAUGUCCAGAAUAACCUGUCACCCACAGGCAAAUUGCAUGGCUGAAAACUCUUGACUAAAAUAAAUGGACUACGUCAUGUCUUUUAAUAAGCCUU
rnacentral:lncRNA from 1 species